AUUGAACGCUGGCGGCAGGCCUAACACAUGCAAGUCGAGCGAGCGGCGGACGGGAGAGGAAUGUAUGGGGACUGCCCGAUAGAGGGGGAGAACGACUGGAAACGGUAGCUCAUACCGCAUACUAUCGGAUAACCCAUAUGGGAUUAGCUAGUUGGGGAGGUAAUGGAUCACCAAGACGACGAUCCCUAGCUGGUCUGAGAGGAUGAUCAGCCAAACGGGAACUGAGACACGGUCCAGACUCCUACGGAGGGAGCAGUGGGGAAUAUUGCACAAUGGGCGCAAGCCGUAUGCAGCCAGGCCGCGUGUAAGAAGAAGGCCCUAGGGUGGUAAAGUACUUUCAGUCGGGAGGCGUUACCGACAGAAGAAGCACCGGCUAACUCCGUGCCAGCAGCCGCGGUAAUUC
rnacentral:rRNA from 1 species